GAUAUGGCUCAGGAUGAACGCUAGCGACAGGCCUAACACAUGCAAGUCGAGGGGCAACAUGGUAUCAGCUUGCUGAUACCGAUGGCGACCGGCGCACGGGUGAGUAACGCGUAUGUAAUCUACCUGUAACAGAGGGAUAACCCGGAGAAAUCCGGACUAAUACCUCAUAGCACAUAUUAUUCGCAUGAAUUUUAUGUUAAAGAGACUCGGUUACAGAUGAACAUGCGUU
rnacentral:rRNA from 1 species